rnacentral:rRNA from 1 species
CCAGACUCCUACGGGAGGCAGCAGUGAGGAAUAUUGGUCAAUGGUCGGGAGACUGAACCAGCCAAGCCGCGUGAGGGAGGAAGGUACAGAGUAUCGUAAACCUCUUUUGUCAGGGAACAAAGGCGGGGACGUGUCCCCGGAUGAGUGUACCUGAAGAAAAAGCAUCGGCUAACUCCGUGCCAGCAGCCGCGGUAAUACGGAGGAUGCGAGCGUUAUCCGGAUUUAUUGGGUUUAAAGGGGGCGCAGGCGGGUCGGGAGGGACCGCGGAAACCGCGCGGGCCCCACCCCGGCCCCGCCGUUGAAACUGGCAGUCUCGAGUUGGAGAGAAGUAUGCGGAAUGCGCGGUGUAGCGGUGAAAUGCAUAGAUAUCGCGCAGAACUCCGAUUGCGAAGGCAGCAUGCCGGCUCCACACUGACGCUGAGGCACGAAAGCGUGGGUAUCGAACAGGAUUAGAUACCCGGGUA